rnacentral:lncRNA from 1 species
CAGCUGUCUAGUAUUUUCCAAUUGCUUCUUAAUUACGGCCGCAUAAUUCAUGAAAUUAUUAGCAGGUUCCAGUUUAUAGUUCACAGACUUUUUAAUUUAGGAGUAUUAGCAACCCAUUGGGAAAUAAAAUCAAGACGAGAGUAAUCGAUCUUCCACCUUUUUUAUUUUCUUUCAUGUUUAAACAAAUACGUUUUUCGCUUUGAUUUGUCUUCUUUUGGAAUUUCCCCUCAAUACUCUUCCACAUUCCUGUUGAAACUUUCUACAGCUUAUAUCAUAAGAGGCACAUUUGGACUUUUAGCCCCAACUUGUGCGCAUUAGUGAACACAUGUGCUUUAUUAUUCUAGUAGGUUUGUUAUCAUGUUGAACAUUCUGGUAUUGGAAAUGUAUACAUCUCUGUGAUGUCAUAACUAACGUCACAGAGAUGCAGAAUGUGCGCUUUUAAUCAUUUUAUAUAUGCUAUUCGGUAUUGUUCAUAUCUGGGUUCAUGCACAUGUCCUACAGGACAAUUAGAUUCUUGGUAUCAUUCCAUCUUAUUUUUAAACAAGGAAGUGAAUGGGAGAGUAAAGUUCUAUUCUUAUUAUACUCAGUGUGUGUACCAGCUGGACAAGCUUGCAUCUGCAUACUUUACAAAAGAUAAAAUAAUGAUAUGUAUCAAUCCUAUAAAGUAAUGAUAUGUAUCAAUCCUUAUAAUCUAAUGCUAUAUAUUUUUUUUCUAUUUGAAGGUCAUUUGACUACAAAAAGCGAUGUAUACAGUUUCGGAGUAGUUCUUCUAGAAAUGCUAUCGGGAC